CAACUGAGGCACAGAGAAGUGAAGCGACUUGCCCAAAGUCACACAGCCGUUCCUUGGGGAAGAUGUCGGACUCCUGGGUUCCUGGGGGUGCUGUGAUCCUACCUCAUUUCCAGAUGAGGGAACAGAGGCACAGAGAAGUGAAAUGACUUGUCCAAAGUCACACAGCCGUUCCUUGGGGAAGAUGUCGGACUCCUGGGUUCCUGGGGGUGCUGUGAUCCUACCUCAUUUCCAGAUGAGGGAACAGAGGCACAGAGAAGUGAAAUGACUUGUCCAAAGUCACACAGCCGUUCCUUGGGGAAGAUGUCGGACUCCUGGGUUCCUGGGGGUGCUGUGAUCCUACCUCAUUUCCAGGUCCGGCCCUGCCACCACGGAGCAGAGGGGCAGCAUGAGGCCUGGGGGAGCCCCACAUCUUCUUGGGGCCUGGCGGUCCUCCCUCCUCGGAUUUCCCGGAGAAGGCAGCCCCCCCUGCAAGAAGCCCACCCCCAGUUGGAGCUACUUAGUAAUCGGAACCGAACGCUCCUCUCUCCAUCGAUCUCGUCUCCCGGCUCCUCAGACAGCCGCUGGGCGAUCGAUAACUCACUUAAUUGCCGCCUCCCGGCUGACGGCCUCGAUCCCCAAGACAACCGGGGGCCUGGCACCCCUCCAUUCUCGCCCCACAGCCGUCUCCCCCACUCCCCAAGCCCCUCGGCUCUGCCCCGACCCCAUCAACUGCUCAGGCCCUGGGUUCAUCCAUUCAUUCAUUCAGUCGUAUCAUCAUCAUCA